UAAUAGCGUAUAUUAAAGUUGUUGCAGUUAAAAAGCUCGUAGUCGGAUGUCGGGCUCGGGGAGAUUGUCGGCCUUUGGUCGGAUAGUUUCUCCGGGCCUUUCUGCCUGGGAACCCUAUUCUACUUAACUGUAGGGUAGUGGGACGCAGGCCGUUUACUUUGAAAAAAUUAGAGUGUUCAAAGCAGGCGAUCGCUUGAAUACAUUAGCAUGGAAUAAUAGAAUAGGACUUUGGUUCUAUUUUGUUGGUUUCUAGGACCGAAGUAAUGAUUAAUAGGGACAGUUGGGGGCAUUAGUAUUUAAUUGUCAGAGGUGAAAUUCUUGGAUUUAUGAAAGACUAACUACUGCGAAAGCAUUUGCCAAGGAUGUUUUCAUUAAUCAAGAACGAAAGUUAGGGGAUCGAAGACGAUCAGAUACCGU
rnacentral:rRNA from 1 species